AUUGAACGCUGGCGGCAUGCCUUACACAUGCAAGUCGAACGGCAGCACGGGUGCUUGCACCUGGUGGCGAGUGGCGAACGGGUGAGUAAUACAUCGGAACAUGUCCUGUAGUGGGGGAUAGCCCGGCGAAAGCCGGAUUAAUACCGCAUACGAUCUACGGAUGAAAGCGGGGGACCUUCGGGCCUCGCGCUAUCGGGUUGGCCGAUGGCUGAUUAGCUAGUUGGUGGGGUAAAGGCCUACCAAGGCGACGAUCAGUAGCUGGUCUGAGAGGACGACCAGCCACACUGGGACUGAGACACGGCCCAGACUCCUACGGGAGGCAGCAGUGGGGAAUUUUGGACAAUGGGCGAAAGCCUGAGCCAGCAAUGCCGCGUGUGUGAAGAAGGCCUUCGGGUUGUAAAGCACUUUUGUCCGGAAAGAAAUCCUUGGCCCUAAUACGGUCGGGGGAUGACGGUACCGGAAGAAUAAGCACCGGCUAACUACGUG
rnacentral:rRNA from 1 species